AUUGAACGCUGGCGGCAGGCCUAACACAUGCAAGUCGAACGGUAACAGGAAGAAGCUUGCUUCUUUGCUGACGAGUGGCGGGCGGGUGAGUAAUGUCUGGGAAACUGCCUGAUGGAGGGGGAUAACUACUGGAAACGGUAGCUAAUACCGCAUAACGUCGCAAGACCAAAGAGGGGGACCUUCGGGCCUCUUGCAAUCGGAUGUGCCCAGAUGGGAUUAGCUAGUAGGUGGGGUAACGGCUCACCUAGGCGACGAUCCCUAGCUGGUCUGAGAGGAUGCCCAGCCACACUGGAACUGCGACACGGUCCAGACUCCUACGGGAGGCAGCAGUGGGGAAUAUUGCACAAUGGGCGCAAGCCUGAUGCAGCCAUGCCGCGUGUAUGAAGAAGGCCUUCGGGUUGUAAAGUACUUUCAGCGGGGAGGAAGGGAGUAAAGUUAAUACCUUUGCUCAUUGACGUUACCCGCAGAAGAAGCACCGGCUAACUCCGUGCCAGCAGCCGCCGUAA
rnacentral:rRNA from 1 species